CUGCCCCCCUCCUUUGUCCCAGGCCCAGAGAGGUUCCAUCUCUAAGCUAAGGGGUGUCUUCUCUCAUUUGGAAGGACUUUAGAGAUGGCAGCUGAGACUUGCCUGGUAUGUCUCCCUCACCUGGUUUAAAGGAGGAGUAUUGCAGACGAAGGGCCUUGGGGCCUUGGGGCUACUUUGCUCUUGGGUUUGAGGCUGAAAUGGAUUCUGGACACCUCUGUUCCCCACUCAUUUGUAUCUCAUCAUUUGGCUGCAUCUUAUCUGGCGAAAUGAAGAUUGGGGCAAGAUGGUUAUUUCCUGGCUGAAGCUCUAGCUUCUCUGAGCCCUUCCUGUUGGGGGCCACGCUUCCUGCCCUACAGGAGGUGAUGGGAAAUCAAGGAGUAGGGUAAGGAGAGCUGUGGGAAACAUUGUAAAGAAUACAGAUUAAUGAUUAUUAUAUUUGAGGCUAGAACCACCACCACCAUAACAACUAGAACCACCAUAACAAGCUAGAACCAUGUGAAC
rnacentral:lncRNA from 1 species